rnacentral:rRNA from 1 species
UACAGAGGUGGCGAGCGUUAUUCGGAAUUAUUGGGCGUAAAGGGCGCGUAGGCGGCCAAGCAAGUCCUGGGUGAAAUCCCUCGGCUCAACCGAGGAACUGCCUCGGAAACUGCAUGGCUUGAGGCCGGGAGAGGGUAGCGGAAUUCCCAGUGUAGCGGUGAAAUGCGUAGAUAUCGGGAGGAACACCAGUGGCGAAGGCGACUACCUGGCCUGUUCUUGACGCUGAGGCGCGAAAGCUAGGGGAGCAAACGGG